rnacentral:rRNA from 1 species
GAUGAACGCUGGCGGCGUGCCUAAUACAUGCAAGUCGAGCGAACAGACGAGGAGCUUGCUCCUCUGACGUUAGCGGCGGACGGGUGAGUAACACGUGGAUAACCUACCUAUAAGACUGGGAUAACUUCGGGAAACCGGGGCUAAUACCGGAUAAUAUAUUGAACCGCAUGGUUCAAUAGUGAAAGACGGUUUUGCUGUCACUUAUAGAUGGAUCCGCGCCGCAUUAGCUAGUUGGUAAGGUAACGGCUUACCAAGGCAACGAUGCGUAGCCGACCUGAGAGGGUGAUCGGCCACACUGGAACUGAGACACGGUCCAGACUCCUACGGGAGGCAGCAGUAGGGAAUCUUCCGCAAUGGGCGAAAGCUUGACGGAGCAACGCCGCGUGAGUGAUGAAGGUCUUCGGAUCGUGAAACUCUGUUAUUAGGGAAGAACAAAUGUGUAAGUAACUAUGCACGUCUUGACGGUACCUAAUCAGAAAGCCACGGCUAACUACGUG